GUCUAUUCCAUCUUCAUCUUUCCCAGAAAUCGUCUCCAUCUUUCAAGUGUCUUCAUUUGAGUAAUGAUAGCAAGAUGGAUAAUCGGGAAGAUCUUACACCAAUUGAAUCAAAUCCUUCAAGUUCAGAACCCAAUUCUUUACCUAUUCCAAUUCCAGUUCCAGUUACUACUUUUAAUACAAAUAGUAACCCUGAAAGUGAAGGUAAUCCAGCUUCUAGAUCUAAUAAAAGAAAAACAUUU